CAGAGGCCAAGUUGCCCAAUGUCUUUGCAUCCAUUCCUUGCUGGGGUGGAGCAGUAGGUUUGAUGCCAAGGAUUGGUGAUUAUGUUUGGGAGCUGAAGGGAUCAUUGUUGAAGGUCAAGCAGCUUGCCUCCCCCAGUGGGCCAUCUCAAGCCAUACACUGAGGACAAUGCCACCCCCUUUGCCUUCCUGCCUAUCAUCUUGAAACAGUGAGUCUCCUUGGACAUUAAGCUCCCAGUUAUGAUCUUCUUAUAGCCAUGAUUCAUUGAAGUCUACAGCAUCAUACAUGCCAAUCUGCAACUGUACUACAAGUUCAGCUACCUUAUUCUGUAUACUGUGUUACGAAUAUGCCACA